CCUGAGGGGUUAAAAAGAUGCCCCCAGAAGAAAAGGAGGGGGAAAGCGAUCAGCUCAGCAGGAAGCUGACCUGGAUAUAGACGCAGCAUGCAGUAAGAAUGACACGCAGACUUGAGAGACAGGGUCUGCAGCUGGCUAGAGAGAACAGAGGACACCAAGGCUAAGUCAUAUCUACCUAGGGGCUUGAGGAGAAUGCCAAGCAGAGAUACCCUGCAAUGGAGAGUAGCACAAGAGGAAUUGUGAUUUCCUGAGUAACAAUUUUUUCCUGGAACUCUUUGUCAGGCAACACAGAACAGAAGUAUCCUGUGAAAAAUACAGGAGUCUAUUAUCUACUGAGAAGUGGAACAUAAAACAACAAGGAAGUGAAGAAUCAAGGCUCCUGUAGAAUUAUAGACUUGGGCUGACAACAAAGUAGAGUGUCUGACCUUGAUCUUACCAUGGAUUAUUUGAACCUGAAGUUCAUUUUAUGAAAUGUAUAACAGGACUGACUGUGUUUCAUUGUGGAACAUGUAUGUUUUUGUGACAGUUUCAAGCAAUUCUGUAUAUUGAGAAGACAUGAAAUAUUAAUGAAAGCUUACACGUAUAGAGAAAUGGUCCGUGGCUAAUAGUCUUAGGCCUUGAUUCAGCAAAGUCUUAAGCAUGUUUGUAAUCUUACUCACAUGAGUCUUGUAGUAAUUUCAGCAUGUUUAAACAUUUUCAGGAUUUUGACAUAAGCCGGCGGUGAUCACAUUUUACAUUUCAUGCUCAAAUUAUUAAUAAAAUCAAUCCAAUUACAUCAAGUGAUCACAACUGGAACAAAUGAAGAGUUGAUAGUCUGCUUCUUAGAGGCCAGGAUUUUCUUUGAAAUGACUGUUGAUGCUACUUGCAUCUCUUGCCUUAUUGCAGAUCUCAGUGACUGAUACAACAGACCAGAAUUGUCAGACAAAUCAUUCAAGCAGUGCAAUGAGACUCCAAAAACUUAUAGUGCUAGAUGAGGGAUAAAUAUAGUUUUGGAAUGUAGUUUGAUGACUGUAUAUGCAAAAGUUCGGCAACUCCAGUCUACCUAUCAACAAUUAUUUUAUGAAAAUAUUGUUAUUCACUUUGCCAAUUUGGGAAAAAGGUAAUGGUUUAAUGUUUAAUUAACCUAAAAGGACCAAAGGUGCAGUCAUAGUUCCCUGCUGACAUUUAAAGUUUGUGUAUCCUAGAGCUAGGCAUAGCCACUAAAUAUAAACAAAAUUCUUAAAUUUAAAUGAAAUAAAGCCCCUUUUGAUGUCGAAUUGCUCUUGACCAGCAUAUGACACUACAACCAUCCUAAAGCAAAGACAACAGCCUCAACUCAGGAGAACAUGAAGUACUUUUGUACUGGUGAAUUAACAUAAGGGCAAUAUUAAUCUAAACAACUAUUAAUUUAAUUUUGGAAAUCUGAAACCUUUAAGGAUUGAUUUUGAAAAUCUCCCUCUUUUUGUAUAAAACUGAGCCCACAACUAAUUGCAAAUGCAAACACUAACAUUUUGGCAUCUAAAUGUCUAUGCCAACAUAUAUUAAUGGUAGUAUUUGUACACACAAUUAAUUGCAGAUAUAAUUAUGGAUACAUAACUGUGCCUACAGCUAUAGAAGACUUGUUGGUUUUUAAGCUUUGCCAUUCAAACUUAAUGUCUGAAAUACAAUUCUUGAAAUACAAAUCCAGGUUUUUAUCCUGCAACCACCUAUGCAAGUGCUUAACUUUAUGCACCUGAACAGUUCCAUUUAACUCCAAAACAAUUAAUAAUGUGCACAAGUGUUACAGGACUGGGACCUUAAUUAUCUAAAGUGUGACCUGCAAACAUUAUAGUGUAAUCUUUCUAUAUGAAGAGUCAAUAGUUUAAAACAUAACUAAUCAAUCAAAAAUCAACUUUGGCCAUGUCUUCCCAAGUCUUUAACUCAGUUUAACAAAUGUGUUUUUAUAAAUAUAGUUUAAAAUUCAACUGUGGCUGAAAAUGGCUUUAGUUUGUUUUCACUGAGUGUGGAUAGCAUCUAUUUUUGUUGU